rnacentral:tRNA from 1 species
GCCCCCGUAUCCCAACCGGCAGAGGAAAGCGCCUUAAAAGCGCUCAAGUCUGGGUUCGAAUCCCAGCGGGGGCA